GAUGAACGCUGGCGGCGUGCCUAAUACAUGCAAGUCGAGCGAACGGACGAGAAGCUUGCUUUUCUGAUGUUAGCGGCGGACGGGUGAGUAACACGUGGAUAACCUACCUAUAAGACUGGGAUAACUUCGGGAAACCGGAGCUAAUACCGGAUAAUAUUUUGAACCGCAUGGUUCAAAAGUGAAAGACGGUCUUGCUGUCACUUAUAGAUGGAUCCGCGCUGCAUUAGCUAGUUGGUAAGGUAACGGCUUACCAAGGCAACGAUGCAUAGCCGACCUGAGAGGGUGAUCGGCCACACUGGAACUGAGACACGGUCCAGACUCCUACGGGAGGCAGCAGUAGGGAAUCUUCCGCAAUGGGCGAAAGCCUGACGGAGCAACGCCGCGUGAGUGAUGAAGGUCUUCGGAUCGUAAAACUCUGUCAUUAGGGAAGAACAUAUGUGUAAGUAACUGUGCACAUCUUGACGGUACCUAAUCAGAAAGCCACGGCUAACUACGUGCCAGCAGCCGCGGUAAUACGUAGGUGGCAAGCGUUAUCCGGAAUUAUUGGGCGUAAAGCGCGCGUAGGCGGUUUUUUAAGUCUGAUGUGAAAGCCCACGGCUCAACCGUGGAGGGUCAUUGGAAACUGGAAAACUUGAGUGCAGAAGAGGAAAGUGGAAUUCCAUGUGUAGCGGUGAAAUGCGCAGAGAUAUGGAGGAACACCAGUGGCGAAGGCGACUUUCUGGUCUGUAACUGACGCUGAUGUGCGAAAGCGUGGGGAUCAAACAGGAUUAGAUACCCUGGUAGUCCACGCCGUAAACGAUGAGUGCUAAGUGUUAGGGGGUUUCCGCCCCUUAGUGCUGCAGCUAACGCAUUAAGCACUCCGCCUGGGGAGUACGACCGCAAGGUUGAAACUCAAAGGAAUUGACGGGGACCCGCACAAGCGGUGGAGCAUGUGGUUUAAUUCGAAGCAACGCGAAGAACCUUACCAAAUCUUGACAUCCUUUGACAACUCUAGAGAUAGAGCCUCCCCCUUCGGGGGACAAAGUGACAGGUGGUGCAUGGUUGUCGUCAGCUCGUGUCGUGAGAUGUUGGGUUAAGUCCCGCAACGAGCGCAACCCUUAAGCUUAGUUGCCAUCAUUAAGUUGGGCACUCUAAGUUGACUGCCGGUGACAAACCGGAGGAAGGUGGGGAUGACGUCAAAUCAUCAUGCCCCUUAUGAUUUGGGCUACACACGUGCUACAAUGGACAAUACAAAGGGCAGCGAAACCGCGAGGUCAGGCAAAUCCCAUAAAGUUGUUCUCAGUUCGGAUUGUAGUCUGCAACUCGACUACAUGAAGCUGGAAUCGCUAGUAAUCGUAGAUCAGCAUGCUACGGUGAAUACGUUCCCGGGUCU
rnacentral:rRNA from 1 species